UACAGAGGGGGCAAGCGUUGUUCGGAAUUACUGGGCGUAAAGGGCGCGUAGGCGGCCUGUUAAGUCGAACGUGAAAGCCCCGGGCUCAACCUGGGAAUGGCGAUGGAUACUGGCGGGCUGGAGGCUGGUAGAGGGCGGUGGAAUUCCGGGUGUAGUGGUGGAAUGCGGUAGAGCUCCGGAGGAACACCAGUGGCGAAGGCGGCCG
rnacentral:rRNA from 1 species